CGUGAGAUGUUGGGUUAAGUCCCGUAACGAGCGCAACCCCUAUCCCUGGUUGCUAGCAGGUAAUGCUGAGAACUCCAGGGAGACUGCCGGUGACAAACCGGAGGAAGGUGGGGAUGACGUCAGGUCAUCAUGGCCCUUACGGCCAGGGCUACACACGUGCUACAAUGGCGCGUACAGAGGGCUGCCAACUCGCGAGAGUGCGCCAAUCCCUUAAAACGCGUCGUAGUCCGGAUCGGAGUCUGCAACUCG
rnacentral:rRNA from 16 species